CGNGGCUUUCUGGUCAGAUACCGUCAAUACGUGAACAGUUACUCUCACGCACGUUCUUCUCUGACAACAGAAUUUUACGACCCGAAGGCCUUCUUCAUUCACGCGGCGUUGCUCCAUCAGACUUUCGUCCAUUGUGGAAGAUUCCCUACUGCUGCCUCCCGUAGGAGUAGGGGGAAUCUUCCACAAUGGACGAAAGUCUGAUGGAGCAACGCCGCGUGAAUGAAGAAGGCCUUCGGGUCGUAAAAUUCUGUUGUCAGAGAAGAACGUGCGUGAGAGUAACUGUUCACGUAUUGACGGUAUCUGACCAGAAAGCCACGGCUAACUACGUGCCAGCAGCCGCGGUAAUACA
rnacentral:rRNA from 1 species